AGGAGUCGGAAUCGUUCACUUCUUCCCAUCCCGUUUGAGAACACGAAGACGGCGGGCUCGACUGACUGCGAGCGCCCGCCUCUGGAGGACAUGCGCCUGGGACUCGACACGUGAUCCGCUCGCCACAAUCCAGUAUGGCGGAAUCCGUCGGCGAGUGGAUCCGUCGUUGGCGCGCUCUCCAACGGGAAUAAAGUCCGGAGCGUUGCGUCCGAUCGCGGCGGAGCUGCGGAGAGUUCAAUCUUAUCGAGCGAAGAGGAACCGACGCACAGAGCUGGAUUACGGCCAGAGGGGGCACUAUGAGCCUCUGAGAUCGUCCUUUCUUUCCCGUCCCGUGUCUCUUUUGACUCGUCUUCCCAUUCAACAGUGGAUGGUGACCAGCCAACAAGCCCCAGAGGAGCCGUGAGGUGUUUCUCACAUCCUCAUCUGCCAGGACACGCUCCUCUCAUUAUCAAGCCAGUCACUUCAGAGAAAGCUGCCACCUUCGUCACAAUGAGUUCCCACAGCCGCCCAGAUAUGUGCCAUUGCAAACCCGUUUCUCUGGGUGAAGGAGGAUAGUGUUUCUCUGCUACAGGAAUAGCACGUGAUCGGGCUUCGAGGGUUGAGAAUCAGCCUUGAGAUGCCAGAAAAGGCUUUUGAGCAGCUUUUUGAUUCACACUCAAAUAUCUGUCCCCUCGACUCUGCCAAGGCCGCCUUGUCCAACUGUCAGCUCGAGGAGGAGUUUGAUUAUUCUUGGAAAAAAUCGUAAGCUGUGCUGUUUCUCCCUGCCUCCCUCUCUUCCUUUAUCUUUCCUCUUCUCUCUU